rnacentral:lncRNA from 1 species
AUGAAGAUGUAGAUUUGGAAGCAAUUGCUAAUGACCAUCGUUGUGAUUGCUAUACGGGUGCAGACCUUUCUGCUUUGGUCCGAGAAGCUUCUCUCUGUGCCCUGAGACAAGAAAUAACAGGACAGAAGAAUGGCAUUGGAACAGGAUCAAAGGAUGUACGAAGCUCUACAGAGGUCCCUCAGUCAGUGACGUCCACGCCCAGUGCGUGGGACUCACCACGAACCACACUCACCUGACGGGUCUGCUUUCAACUUGACACAGGUGGUCUUCUUGUAAGCAUUUCAUUUUCAAGUUAAUGAGGCCAAAUCGAAGAAAAUGGUGUUUCCUAUCUGACCAGCUUUGUGGAAAAACUCUCUACCUCCUUUUUAAGAAAGAGAAAAAAAGAAAUGAUAAAACCUUAUUCAAAUAAAAUUUUAUUUUGAACUAUCUUG